AAUCCAUAGUAUGGAUAUAUCCAUAGCAAAUCCCUAAACCUUUCUCACACUUCAAAUAAUAAUUCACCAUCUUAUUGGCUAAAACUAGUAAUGUCCACUCUAAACUU